GCUGCUAGAAGUGACUUGUUCAAAAGGUGCCUUUCAUCUGCUUUCUGCUUGCUCACCUGUUCUUCGGGUUCAGAAAGCCUGCUGCAGGACUCUGAGGAUAAAGCGAAGAAAAUGGAAAGCUGAAUGUAUUGGGGAACUAAGUAUGUAGCUGCAUGGUGGAAACAGGUUAUCCUACUGGCUCUGUAAUUGACUUUACUUAGAAGAUGACCUCAGCCUUCUGGAAAUUCUUGAAUCUCUUCUGUGAAUGGAGUGCUUCUGUACUUGGCACUGAAAUGUUAUCCAGCCAACAUUUGUGAACUACGUACUUGUCUUGGGAUAUCUGAACAACCUGAAGUCAUUCGGGCAACCUUUGUCCAUGCCUGAGGUUAUAUGGGCAGAUCAAUUGAAAAGCAGUAUGUACAGUGGCUGAGAUACAUUUUUGGAUAAAUCAGACUUGUUAAACAUAUGCAGCACAUCUCAGGCACAUUUCCAUCUGUGAAAUCUUGGAAAGUAGUGUGAGAACCCUGAUUUUCCACUCUGCAAAGAUGCAUUGAAAUGGAAAGUGAAGUUUCGAAUUUAAUGUACUUUUAGCUUUCGAGUCAAUAUUCCAAUCAUAUUCCUUUUUAUCUAACAACUGGGAAGAAAUAUGAUAGAAAGAUGGAAUGAAGCAUCAUUCGAAGAGGUCUUGGGAGUCAGCUUUUUAUUCCUAGUCCAGCUACAUAUUGGAAAAUACUACCUCCCAUUCUAAAGCAUGAUCAGAUUCUAGGGCAGAAGGUGUCUGUAAUGAAUCUUUGUUAAUGUUAUUGUUCAUAUUUAAACUUUCUGCACAGCUUUAUGGUUCUAAUUAAAGGGAAAGGACAAAAGUAUACUGAAAUGAAUAACAAUUCUUGUUCAGUGCGAUUUUGAG